rnacentral:rRNA from 1 species
UACGGGGGGGAGCAAGCGUUGUUCGGAUUUACUGGGCGUAAAGGGCGCGUAGGCGGUCGUGACAAGUCACUUGUGAAAUCUCCGGGCUUAACUCGGAACGGUCAAGUGAUACUGUCGGACUAGAGUACAGAAGGGGCAACUGGAAUUCUCGGUGUAGCGGUGAAAUGCGUAGAUAUCGAGAGGAACACCAGAGGUGAAGACGGGUUGCUGGGCCGACACUGACGCUGAGGCGCGAAAGCCAGGGGAGCAAACGGG